AUUGAACGCUGGCGGCAUGCCUUACACAUGCAAGUCGAACGGCAGCACGGGUGCUUGCACCUGGUGGCGAGUGGCGAACGGGUGAGUAAUACAUCGGAACGUACCUUAUCGUGGGGGAUAACGCAGCGAAAGUUGCGCUAAUACCGCAUACGCCCUGAGGGGGAAAGCGGGGGACCGUAAGGCCUCGCGCGAUUAGAGCGGCCGAUGUCUGAUUAGCUUGUUGGUGAGGUAAAAGCUCACCAAGGCGAUGAUCAGUAGCUGGUCUGAGAGGACGAUCAGCACACUGGGACUGAGACACGGCCCAGACUCCUACGGGAGGCAGCAGUGGGGAAUUUUGGACAAUGGGGGCAACCCUGAUCCAGCAAUGCCGCGUGAGUGAAGAAGGCCUUCGGGUUGUAAAGCUCUUUUGUCAGGGAAGAAACAGCAGCUCUAACACAGUCUGCGAAUGACGGUACCUGAAGAAUAAGCACCGGCUAACUACGUGCCAGCAGCCGCGGUAA
rnacentral:rRNA from 1 species